ACAACAGAUACCACCUCUUUUUUUGCUCCUAGUGUAGUUUUUCAAGGGAGUGAAGAGUUGGAAUGGGUCCAUGGGCUUGGACUCGGCAAAGCAGGAUUAAUCACUCUUCAGUUCUUUCUUUCCACAGAAAAUCACCAACCGGGUUUUGGGAAGAAAGGCCAUGUGGGAGUGAUGACAAGGAACAAUCCUUCUGGGCUCCAAAGGGAUAUUUAUUACUAGGAUCCAGCACUGAUCUGGGGGGGUGAACAAUCUGAUUUUAUGUGCCGCAUGGAUGUGUGUUUUGGGAGAUUCGCUGUGCCUUUGUUAAUCUAGGCAGGGAUCGAUUUGAUUCUGAUAAUCAAGGAGGGUCAGGUUGGAGGAGGGAAGUACGAGGUGGGAAAGAAAGAUAUUGUUUCCUUUGUGUCUGGUUGGUCAUGGUAAUUCUAUCUUGUUUCCAGCCUUAAACUGAACCCUCCUUUGUAUGUUUUUAUAGUUCUAGAAAAGAAAUUAAAUAACUUUUGACUGAUAUGGAGACAAGAAGAGAGACCAUCGUUUCCGCCCCGUCCUGAUCUGUGUGUCCCGCACCACCAAGAAAGUGCCAGGCCCCACGGUGACCAGACACCCACAGAAGCCAGCCCCGUGGAGCCACGGAAAGGUGGCGGUCCGACACCCACAGACCGGGCCUUCCUCCGGAGCGACUCCGGGCGGCCACCACUCUCAGCGUCCGCCCCGUCGGCUGGGCCUCCCCUCUUCAGCAUUCGAUCGCCGGUAGCACGCUAAGCCAAGCACUCGUCCUGGAUGGCUGUUUGGACCUCCCCGCCUCCCGCCACUCCAGCCCUUACCUCACUCUGCUGCCC